rnacentral:rRNA from 1 species
AUUGAACGCUGGCGGCAUGCCUUACACAUGCAAGUCGAACGGCAGCGCGGGAGCAAUCCUGGCGGCGAGUGACGAACGGGUGAGUAAUAUACCGGAACGUGCCCAGUAGUGGGGGAUAGCCCGGCGAAAGCCGGAUUAAUACCGCAUACGACCUACGGGUGAAAGGGGGGGAUCGCAAGACCUCUCGCUAUUGGAGCGGCCGAUAUCAGAUUGGGUAGUUGGUGGGGUAAAGGACCACCAAGCCUACGAUCUGUAGUUGGGCUGAGAGGACGACCAGCCACACUGGGACUGGGACACGGCCCAGACUCCUACGGGAGGCAGCAGUGGGGAAUUUUGGACAAUGGGGGCAACCCUGAUCAAGCAAUGCCGCGUGCAGGAAGAAGGCCUUCGGGUUGUAAACUGCUUUUGUCAGGGAAGAAAUCCCUUGGGUUAAUACCUCGGGGGGAUGACGGUACCUGAAGAAUAAGCACCGGCUAACUACGUGCCAGCCGCCGCCGUAA